AAAGCAGGUUGCAAUUACAGUGCUUCAUCUUGUGGAAGUACUGUCAUUAUCCUGCUAAAAGAAAAAGCUGUGUUGAUUGUUUUUGAUUUUGCCUUUCUGAGGGUAAAAUCAUGGCAGAUUGACAUGGACAAUU
rnacentral:snoRNA from 1 species